rnacentral:rRNA from 1 species
UACGGGGGGAGCAAGCGUUGUUCGGAUUUACUGGGCGUAAAGGGCGCGUAGGCGGUCGUGACAAGUCACUUGUGAAAUCUCCGGGCUUAACUCGGAACGGUCAAGUGAUACUGUCGGACUAGAGUACAGAAGGGGCAACUGGAAUUCUCGGUGUAGCGGUGAAAUGCGCAGAUAUCAGGAGGAACACCAAUAGCGAAGGCAGCUCGCUGGGACGUUACUGACACUGAGGCGCGAAAGCGUGGGGAGCGAACAGG